rnacentral:rRNA from 1 species
AACGAACGCUGGCGGCAGGCCUAACACAUGCAAGUCGAGCGCCCUUUCGGGGGAGCGGCGGACGGGUGAGUAGCGCGUGGGAAUAUGCCCUUCUCUACGGAAUAGCCUCGGGAAACUGAGAGUAAUACCGUAUACGCCCUGUGGGGGAAGGAUUUAUCGGGGAAGGAUUAGCCCGCGUUGGUUUAGGUAGUGGGUGGGGUAAUGGCCUACCAGGCCGACGAUCCAUAGCUGGUUUGUGAGGAUGAUCAGCCACACUGGGACUGAGACACGGCCCAGACUCCUACGGGAGGCAGCAGUGGGGAAUCUUAGACAAUGGGGGCAAUCCUGAUCUAGCCAUGCCGCGUGAGUGAUGAAGGCCUUAGGGUUGUAAAGCUCUUUCAGCUGGGAAGAUAAUGACGGUACCAGCAGAAGAAGCCCCGGCUAACUCCGUG